GAUGAAGAACGCAGCGAAAUGCGAUAAGUAAUGUGAAUUGCAGAAUUCAGUGAAUCAUCGAAUCUUUGAACGCACAUUGCGCCCGCCAGUAUUCUGGCGGGCAUGCCUGUUCGAGCGUCAUUUCAACCAUCAAGCCCCCGGGCUUGUGUUGGGGACCUGCGGCUGCCGCAGGCCCUGAAAAGCAGUGGCGGGCUCGCUGUCACACCGAGCGUAGUAGAUUUUAUCUCGCUCUGGGCGUGCUGCGGGUUCCGGCCGUUAAACCACCCUUUUAACCCAAGGUUGACCUCGGAUCAGGUAGGAAGACCCGCCGAACUUAAGCAUAUCAAUAAGCGGAGGA
rnacentral:misc_RNA from 1 species